GACGAACGCUGGCGGCGUGCCUAAUACAUGCAAGUAGAACGCUGAAGCUUGGUGCUUGCACCGAGCGGAUGAGUUGCGAACGGGUGAGUAACGCGUAGGUAACCUGCCUGGUAGCGGGGGAUAACUAUUGGAAACGAUAGCUAAUACCGCAUAAUAGUAGAUGUUGCAUGACAUUUGCUUAAAAGGUGCAAUUGCAUCACUACCAGAUGGACCUGCGUUGUAUUAGCUAGUUGGUGAGGUAACGGCUCACCAAGGCAACGAUACAUAGCCUACCUGAGAGGGUGAUCGGCCACACUGGGACUGAGACCAGGCCCAGGAUUCUAAGGGAGGCAGCAGUAGGGAAUCUUCGGAAAUGGACGGAAGUCUGACCGAGCAACGCCGCGUGAGUGAAGAAGGUUUUCGGAUCGUAAAGCUCUGUUGUAAGAGAAGAAAGAGUGUGAGAGUGGAAAGUUCACACUGUGACGGUAUCUUACCAGAAAGGGACGGCUAACUACGUG
rnacentral:rRNA from 1 species